GGGGAACCUCACAAGCAGGCAGAGAGCACACCUGAGACACAAGGACAAAUUAAAGCCAGUGAAUAAAACUAAAGGUCACUUUAAAGGAGUAUAAAGCUACAGUGGACAUAACGUGGCAUAGGUGAUCUUGACACCACAGAACUGUGAAGCCUGCAAUCCUACAAUAUAGAGGGGUAUGAGGAAGACAUCUCAGGAUACUGAAGAGUGUUGCAGAGGACCCACAAAUAGUCCUGAGCAUGAGAUGGUGGACAACAAACCCAUUUUUGGUGUGGGUGUUGCAGCAAGAGCGCUGGCCUGCCAUGAUCUGCUACAUUCUACCUGGAAAUACAAGUCAGAAGUCAGCCUGUCAUAUUUUUUCAAAAGGUGACUUGUCAAAAUGAGACUUCUUUCAUAAAAUCAGUCUGGUUGGGCAUGGUGGCUCACGCCUGUAAUCCUAGCACUUUGGGAGGCUGAAGUAGGUGGAUGGCUUGAGCCCAGGAGUUUGAGACCAGCCUGGGCAACAUGGCAAAAUCCCAUCUCUACAAAAAAUACAAAAAUUAGCCGGGCAUAGUGUCACACACCUGUGGUCCCAGCUACUCAGGAGACUGAGAUGGGAGGAUCACCUGAGCCCGGGAGGUUAAGGCUGCAGUGAGCCAGGAUUGGGCCACUGCACUACAGCAUGGGUGACAGAGUGAAAUGCUGUCUCAAAAAACAACAACAAAAAAUCUCUCAAUCUGUCCAAAUAGUUAGAUUGUCUUCAGUAAUCUUUCCAUCGCGAUCUUGCUUUGUUUCUACUACUACUCUGAUGCUACAUAAUUAAGGUCACCAAUCGUUGUCACUGUCUUUCCAAACCUGUUGUUCCUUACUUCCUCCGGCCAUUCUUCCUUGUCCCCCUCCCAUUCAUCAUCCAGACACACACACACACACACACACACACACACACAC
ensembl:lncRNA novel transcript